UACGAAGGGGGCUAGCGUUGUUCGGAUUUACUGGGCGUAAAGCGCACGUAGGCGGAUCUUUAAGUCAGAGGUGAAAUCCCAAGGCUCAACCUUGGAACUGCCUUUGAUACUGAAAGUCUUGAGUAUGGGAGAGGUGAGUGGAACUGCGAGUGUAGAGGUGAAAUUCGUAGAUAUUCGCAAGAACACCAGUGGCGAAGGCGGCUCACUGGCCCAUAACUGACGCUGAGGCACGGAAAGCGUGGGGAGCAAACAGG
rnacentral:rRNA from 1 species